AGAGUUUGAUCAUGGCUCAGAACGAACGCUGGCGGCGUGCCUAACACAUGCAAGUCGAACGAGAAGUACGUAGCAAUACGUAUUGUAAAGUGGCGCACGGGUGAGUAACACGUGGGUAAUCUGCCCUUGAGUUUGGGAUAACCCCGCGAAAGCGGGGCUAAUACCGAAUAAGACCACGGGGACCAAAGUCCCUGGGGUAAAAGGUGGCCUCUAUUUAUAAGCUACCACUCGAGGAUGAGCCCGCGGCCCAUUAGCUAGUUGGCAGGGUAAUGGCCUACCAAGGCAAUGAUGGGUAGCUGGUCUGAGAGGACGAUCAGCCACACUGGAACUGAGACACGGUCCAGACUCCUACGGGAGGCAGCAGUGGGGAAUAUUGCGCAAUGGGCGAAAGCCUGACGCAGCAACGCCGCGUGGGGGAUGAAGGUUCUCGGAUUGUAAACCCCUUUCGAUCGGAACGAAUCCCCUCCUGGUAAAUAAUCAGGAGGGUCGACGGUACCGAGAGAAGAAGCCACGGCUAACUCUGUGCCAGCAGCCGCGGUAAGACAGAGGUGGCGAGCGUUGUUCGGAUUUAUUGGGCGUAAAGCGAACGCAGGUGGUUUGGUAAGUCAGGGGUGAAAGUCCACAGCUUAACUGUGGCACUGCCUUUUGAUACUGCCUUUCUUGAGUAGAGUAGGGGGAAGCGGAAUUCCGAGUGUAGAGGUGAAAUUCGUAGAUAUUCGGAGGAACACCGGUGGCGAAGGCGGCUUCCUGGACUCUAACUGACACUCAUGUUCGAAAGCGUGGGGAGCAAACAGGAUUAGAUACCCUAGUAGUCC
rnacentral:rRNA from 1 species